rnacentral:rRNA from 1 species
GACGAACGCUGGCGGCGUGCUUAACACAUGCAAGUCGAGCGGUAAGGCCCUUUCGGGGUACGACGAGCGGCGAACGGUGAGUAACACGUGGGUGACCUGCCCUCAGCUCUGGGAUAAGCCUGGGAAACCGGGUCUAAUACUGGAUAUGACUCCAUGACGCAUGUUGUGGGGUGGAAAGCCUUGUGCGGCUGAGGAUGGGCCCGCGGCCUAUCAGCUUGUUGGNGGGGUGANGGCCUACCAAGGCGACGACGGGUAGCCGGCCUGAGAGGGCGACCGGCCGACACUGGGACUGAGACACGGCCCAGACUCCUACGGGAGGCAGCAGUGGGGAAUCUUGCGCAAUGGGCGAAAGCCUGACGCAGCGACGCCGCGUGAGGGAUGACGGCCU